rnacentral:rRNA from 1 species
AUUGAACGCUGGCGGCAGGCUUAACACAUGCAAGUCGAACGAGUGGCGGACGGGUGAGUAAUGCUUGGGAAUCUGGCUUAUGGAGGGGGAUAACGACGGGAACCUGUCGCUAAUACCGCGUAGCAUAGGAUGAGCCCAAGUGGGAUUAGGUAGUUGGUGGGGUAAUGGCCUACCAGGCCGACGAUCCCUAGCUGGUCUGAGAGGAUGACCGGCCACACCGGGACUGGGACACGGCCCGACCUCCUACGGGAGGAAGCAGUGGGGAAUAUUGCGCAAUGGGGGCAACCUGACGCAGCAAUGCCGCGUGAAGGAGGAAGGCCUUCGGGUUGUAAAGUUCUUUCGGUGACGAGGCGUUAAUCACAGAAGAAGCACCGGCUAACUCCGUGCCAGCAGCCGCGGUAAUAC